GGCUUCGUGGUCGAGUGGUAAGGACACUUGCCUCUUACCCAGGAAUCCCGGGUUCGAUGCUCGGGCGAAGAGCUA